GGGUUGUGAGGUUAAGCGACUAAGCGUACACGGUGGAUGCCCUGGCAGUCAGAGGCGAUGAAGGGCGUGCUAAUCUGCGAUAAGCGCCGGUAAGGUGAUAUGAACCGUUAUAACCGGCGAUACCCGAAUGGGGAAACCCAGUGUGACUCGUCACACUAUCAUUAACUGAAUCCAUAGGUUAAUGAGGCGAACCGGGGGAACUGAAACAUCUAAGUACCCCGAGGAAAAGAAAUCAACCGAGAUUCCCCCAGUAGCGGCGAGCGAACGGGGAGGAGCCCAGAGCCUGAAUCAGCAUGUGUGUUAGUGGAAGCGUCUGGAAAGGCGCGCGAUACAGGGUGACAGCCCCGUACACAAAAGCGCAUGUGCUGUGAGCUCGAUGAGUAGGGCGGGACACGUGAUAUCCUGUCUGAAUAUGGGGGGACCAUCCUCCAAGGCUAAAUACUCCUGACUGACCGAUAGUGAACCAGUACCGUGAGGGAAAGGCGAAAAGAACCCCGGCGAGGGGAGUGAAAAAGAACCUGAAACCGUGUACGUACAAGCAGUGGGAGCACCCUUUUGGGUGUGACUGCGUACCUUUUGUAUAAUGGGUCAGCGACUUAUAUUCUGUAGCAAGGUUAACCGAAUAGGGGAGCCGGAGGGAAACCGAGUCUUAACCGGGCGUUAAGUUGCAGGGUAUAGACCCGAAACCCGGUGAUCUAGCCAUGGGCAGGUUGAAGGUUGGGUAACACUAACUGGAGGACCGAACCGACUAAUGUUGAAAAAUUAGCGGAUGACCUGUGGCUGGGGGUGAAAGGCCAAUCAAACCGGGAGAUAGCUGGUUCUCCCCGAAAGCUAUUUAGGUAGCGCCUCGUGAAUUCAUCUCCGGGGGUAGAGCACUGUUUCGGCUAGGGGGCCAUCCCGGCUUACCAACCCGAUGCAAACUGCGAAUACCGGAGAAUGUUAUCACGGGAGACACACGGCGGGUGCUAACGUCCGUCGUGAAGAGGGAAACAACCCAGACCGCCAGCUAAGGUCCCAAAGUCAUGGUUAAGUGGGAAACGAUGUGGGAAGGCCCAGACAGCCAGGAUGUUGGCUUAGAAGCAGCCAUCAUUUAAAGAAAGCGUAAUAGCUCACUGGUCGAGUCGGCCUGCGCGGAAGAUGUAACGGGGCUAAACCAUGCACCGAAGCUGCGGCAGCGACACUGUGUGUUGUUGGGUAGGGGAGCGUUCUGUAAGCCUGUGAAGGUGUGUCGUGAGGCAUGCUGGAGGUAUCAGAAGUGCGAAUGCUGACAUAAGUAACGAUAAAGCGGGUGAAAAGCCCGCUCGCCGGAAGACCAAGGGUUCCUGUCCAACGUUAAUCGGGGCAGGGUGAGUCGACCCCUAAGGCGAGGCCGAAAGGCGUAGUCGAUGGGAAACGGGUUAAUAUUCCCGUACUUGGUGUUACUGCGAAGGGGGGACGGAGAAGGCUAUGUUGGCCGGGCGACGGUUGUCCCGGUUUAAGCGUGUAGGUGUGUGUUCCAGGUAAAUCCGGUUCACUUUAACACUGAGGCGUGAUGACGAGGCACUACGGUGCUGAAGCAACAAAUGCCCUGCUUCCAGGAAAAGCCUCUAAGCAUCAGGUAACAUCAAAUCGUACCCCAAACCGACACAGGUGGUCAGGUAGAGAAUACCAAGGCGCUUGAGAGAACUCGGGUGAAGGAACUAGGCAAAAUGGUGCCGUAACUUCGGGAGAAGGCACGCUGACACGUAGGUGAAGUGAUUUACUCAUGGAGCUGAAGUCAGUCGAAGAUACCAGCUGGCUGCAACUGUUUAUUAAAAACACAGCACUGUGCAAACACGAAAGUGGACGUAUACGGUGUGACGCCUGCCCGGUGCCGGAAGGUUAAUUGAUGGGGUCAGCGCAAGCGAAGCUCCUGAUCGAAGCCCCGGUAAACGGCGGCCGUAACUAUAACGGUCCUAAGGUAGCGAAAUUCCUUGUCGGGUAAGUUCCGACCUGCACGAAUGGCGUAAUGAUGGCCAGGCUGUCUCCACCCGAGACUCAGUGAAAUUGAACUCGCUGUGAAGAUGCAGUGUACCCGCGGCAAGACGGAAAGACCCCGUGAACCUUUACUAUAGCUUGACACUGAACAUUGAGCCUUGAUGUGUAGGAUAGGUGGGAGGCUUUGAAGUGUGGACGCCAGUCUGC
rnacentral:rRNA from 1 species